GGCCAUAUAGUGUAGUGGUUAUCACUCGAGAUUCUGAUUCUCGGAACCCAGGUUCGAUCCCUGGUAAGGCCU
rnacentral:tRNA from 2 species